GGAUUUAGUAUUGGGUUGGCUGAAAAGUUCGUUCGGGUUUUUCCAUAAGAACUCAAAUAAACUUUUUGGCCAACCCAGUAAUAACACUGAUGCACC
ensembl:miRNA